rnacentral:rRNA from 1 species
CGGAACGUGCCCAGUCGUGGGGGAUAACGUAGCGAAAGCUACGCUAAUACCGCAUACGAUCUAUGGAUGAAAGCGGGGGACCGUAAGGCCUCGCGCGAUUGGAGCGGCCGAUGGCAGAUUAGGUAGUUGGUGGGGUAAAGGCUCACCAAGCCUGCGAUCUGUAGCUGGUCUGAGAGGACGACCAGCCACACUGGGACUGAGACACGGCCCAGACUCCUACGGGAGGCAGCAGUGGGGAAUUUUGGACAAUGGGCGCAAGCCUGAUCCAGCCAUUCCGCGUGCAGGAUGAAGGCCUUCGGGUUGUAAACUGCUUUUGUACGGAACGAAAAGGCUCUUUCUAAUACAGAGAGCUCAUGACGGUACCGUAAGAAUAAGCACCGGCUAACUACGUGCCAGCAGCCGCGGUAAUACGUAGGGUGCAAGCGUUAAUCGGAAUUACUGGGCGUAAAGCGUGCGCAGGCGGUAAUGCAAGACAGAUGUGAAAUCCCCGGGCUCAACCUGGGAACUGCAUUUGUGACUGCAUUGCUGGAGUGCGGCAGAGGGGGAUGGAAUUCCGCGU